UGCAGCAAUCAUGAAAGUACCCGUUGCAAUCGCAAGCCACCAAGUUUAGCAAUGCCGGGGCUUUUGCCUUAUAGAAAAUGACCUUACCCACAAGAGUCUUCCCAAAUAUUCCGCUCGUGAGAUCAGUCAGCAAGGUAAUUGCCGGUCAUCACAAUGCGUAUUCGGAGAAUCCACGUUUUUUACUCCUCCGGCGGGGCUAGCGGCGAGCGCGGCGGACGCGAUGCCCAUCCAUGCACCGGUGCCAAGUUCACCGCGGGCGCAGGGGGAAACAAGCUGUUCCUUACAAGAGCAACAGUGAUGGUGUAGCGUUCUCUGAAAGAAGAUCCUGGCAAUGCAAAGGAGAAAGUUUUGUUUUCAGUAGUGGAGAUAGAUGAAUCAGAGAAGGGAAGGAAAGGAAAGAAGAAUAAAGACAGAGGAGAAUGGCA
rnacentral:lncRNA from 1 species